rnacentral:rRNA from 1 species
CGAGACCUUCGGGUCUAGUGGCGCACGGGUGCGUAACGCGUGGGAACCUGCCUUUAGGUUCGGAAUAACUCAGAGAAAUUUGAGCUAAUACCGGAUAAUGUCUUCGGACCAAAGAUUUAUCGCCUUUAGAUGGGCCCGCGUUGGAUUAGCUAGUUGGUGGGGUAAAGGCCUACCAAGGCGACGAUCCAUAGCUGGUCUGAGAGGAUGAUCAGCCACACUGGGACUGAGACACGGCCCAGACUCCUACGGGAGGCAGCAGUGGGGAAUAUUGGACAAUGGGCGAAAGCCUGAUCCAGCAAUGCCGCGUGAGUGAUGAAGGCCUUAGGGUUGUAAAGCUCUUUUACCCGAGAUGAUAAUGACAGUAUCGGGAGAAUAAGCUCCGGCUAACUCCGUGCCAGCAGCCGCGGUAAUACGGAGGGAGCUAGCGUUGUUCGGAAUUACUGGGCGUAAAGCGCACGUAGGCGGCUUUUUAAGUCAGGGGUGAAAUCCCGGGGCUCAACCCCGGAACUGCCCUUGAAACUGGGAAGCUAGAAUCUUGGAGAGGCGAGUGGAAUUCCGAGUGUAGAGGUGAAAUUCGUAGAUAUUCGGAAGAACACCAGUGGCGAAGGCGACUCGCUGGACAAGUAUUGACGCUGAGGUGCGAAAGCGUG